rnacentral:lncRNA from 1 species
CCCUUUCCUUGCUCAUCAACUGUGCCAUGCCUGAUGAUCUUCAUAAUUUAACUGCAUGUUAGUGAUUUCCUUUCUGAUGAUGGUUGUAAAUUUGGAGUCUUAGUGGAGUUAUUCACAUGCUUUCUCAUGAAGUUGAACUAAACUUCCUUGGUAUUCAUGCUAGCGGAAAUGACGGGUACAUUUGGGAGUGUUGUCAAGUCUGCUUAUCCUUCUUUCUCAGUUGCUGAUCAAUGUUGUUCUAAUUGGAAAUGGUAUCAUUUGGAAACUUGAUCUUCCUUCCAAAUUGGAAACUAUACUUUACCAUAAGCUGUUGACAAAUGAGGCUACACUAAGGAGGGGAUUGCUUGCUGCCCUGGAUCUUGAUAAGUAGUGAUAGUCAAUGCUGAGUUGCUGAGAGGAAUACACAGCUCGGAAAGGAAGACUGAGAUGUCAAGCAAUGCAUCAGCUUUGGAGUCUCCUCUCAGUUUCCUUCAUCCUCCACUCUGCAAGCUAAAUCAUAGAACAUAAUAAACCCAUAUUCUGAAAAAUCUUUGGAUGACAAGUUAAACUCUUCAACAAAUGGUACAACUGAAUAUGAGGAUGCAAUCAACCGUCUUCUUAAGAGAGUAUACAAGGUUAAUGCGAGUUCAAGUAAACUCUCUGAUAUCCUUGAAUGACACCAAGUUGUUGUUGUGACAUAUGAGGAGCUUAUACAGUCUGUUCGAAUAUACAAUCCUUACAGCCGGCAUUCUUCAAUGA